rnacentral:misc_RNA from 1 species
GAUGAAGAACGCAGCGAAAUGCGAUAAGUAGUGUGAAUUGCAGAAUUCAGUGAAUCAUCGAAUCUUUGAACGCACAUUGCGCCCUUUGGUAUUCCUUAGGGCAUGCCUGUUCGAGCGUCAUUUAAACCUUCAAGCUAAGCUUGGUGUUGGGUGACUGUCCGCUUCACGGCGGACUCGCCUCAAAAUUAUUGGCGGCCGGUACAUUGGCUUCGAGCGCAGCAGAAACGCGAACUCGGGCCCGUCGUAUUGGCUCCCAGAAGCCAUCUUCACAAUUUUGACCUCGGAUCAGGUAGGGAUACCCGCUGAACUUAAGCAUAUCAAUAAGCGGAGGA